UACGUAGGUGGCAAGCGUUGUUCGGAAUCACUGGGCGUAAAGCGCACGUAGGCGGAUUCUUAAGUCGGUGGUGAAAGCCUGGAGCUCAACUCCAGAACUGCCUUCGAUACUGAGAGUCUUGAGUCCGGGAGAGGUGAGUGGAACUGCGAGUGUAGCGGUGAAAUGCGCAGAUAUCAGGAGGAACACCAGUGGCGAAGGCGGUGCUCUGGGCCGGAACUGACGCUGAGGAGCGAAAGCGUGGGGAGCAAACAGG
rnacentral:rRNA from 1 species